rnacentral:rRNA from 1 species
UACAGAGGGUGCAAGCGUUAAUCGGAAUUACUGGGCGUAAAGCGUGCGUAGACGGUUAUGUAAGUCAGGUGUGAAAGCCCCGGGCUCAACCUGGGAAUUGCAUUUGAGACUGCAUAGCUAGGGUGCGGAAGAGGGAAGCGGAAUUUCCGGUGUGAGCGGGUGAAAUGCGUUGAUAUCGGAAGGAACGCCGGUGGCGAAAGCGACGCACUGGACCUCUUCUGACGCUGAGGCGCGAAAGCCAGGGGAGCAAACGGG